GUGCAGCAGGCGCGAAACUUUACAAUGUGCGAAAGCACGAUAAGGGAACUCUGAGUGCCUCCUAAGGAGGCUGUUCUGAUGUCUAAAAAGCAACAGAAGUAAGGGCUGGGUAAGACCGGUGCCAGCCGCCGCGGUAACACCGGCAGCCCAAGUGGUAGCCACGUUUAUUGGGUCUAAAGCGUUCGUAGCCGGCCAGGUAAGUUCCUUGGUAAAUUUAGCCGCUUAACGGUUAAGCUUUCAGGGAAUACUGCUUGGCUUGGGACUGGGAGAGGUCAGAGGUACUCCGGGGGUAGGGGUGAAAUCUAUUAAUCCCUGGGGGACCACCGGUAGCGAAGGCGUCUGACCAGACCAGGUCCGACGGUGAGGGACGAAGGCUAGGGGCGCGAACCGGAUUAGAUACCCGCGUAGU
rnacentral:rRNA from 1 species